rnacentral:rRNA from 1 species
CCUACGGGAGGCAGCAGUGGGGAAUAUUGGGCAAUGGUCGCAAGCCUGACCCAGCAACGCCGCGUGAAGGAAGAAGGCUUUCGGGUUGUAAACUUCUUUUGUCAGGGACGAAGCAAGUGACGGUACCUGACGAAUAAGCCACGGCUAACUAGGUGCCAGCAGCCGCGGUAAUACGGAGGUGGCAAGAGUUAUGCGGAUUUAUUGGGUUUAAAGGGCGUGUAGGCGGGAAUGCAAGUCAGAUGUGAAAACUAUGGGCUCAACCCAUAGCCUGCAUUUGAAACUGUAUUUCUUGAGUGCUGGAGAGGCAAGCGGAAUUCGGGGUGUAGCGGUGAAAUGCGUAGAUAUACGGAGGAACACCAGUGGCGAAGGCGGAUUGCUGGACAGUAACUGACGCUGAGGCGCGAAAGCGUGGGGAGCAAACAGGAUUAGAUACCCGGGUAGUC